rnacentral:rRNA from 1 species
CAGUCGCCGCGGGAAUACGAAGGGUGCAAGCGUUACUCGGAAUUACUGGGCGUAAAGCGUGCGUAGGCGGUUAUAUAAGACAGAUGUGAAAUCCCCGGGCUCAACCUGGGAACUGCAUUUGUGACUGUAUAGCUAGAGUACGGCAGAGGGGGAUGGAAUUCCGCGUGUAGCAGUGAAAUGCGUAGAUAUUGGGAAGAACACCGGUGGCGAAGGCGGCGACCUGGUCCUUUACUGACGCUGAGGCGCGAAAGCGUGGGGAGCAAACAGGAUUAGAUACCCGGGUAGUCCCUGUCUCUUAUAC